rnacentral:rRNA from 1 species
CCUACGGGUGGCAGCAGUGGGGAAUAUUGGACAAUGGGGGCAACCCUGAUCCAGCCAUGCCGCGUGUGUGAAGAAGGCCCUCGGGUUGUAAAGCACUUUCAGUGAGGAAGAACGCCUGGUGGUUAAUACCCAUCAGGAAAGACAUCACUCACAGAAGAAGCACCGGCUAACUCCGUGCCAGCAGCCGCGGUAAUACGGAGGGUGCGAGCGUUAAUCGGAAUUACUGGGCGUAAAGCGCGCGUAGGUGGCUUGAUAAGCCGGUUGUGAAAGCCCCGGGCUCAACCUGGGAACGGCAUCCGGAACUGUCAAGCUAGAGUGCAGGAGAGGAAGGUAGAAUUCCCGGUGUAGCGGUGAAAUGCGUAGAGAUCGGGAGGAAUACCAGUGGCGAAGGCGGCCUUCUGGACUGACACUGACACUGAGGUGCGAAAGCGUGGGUAGCAAACAGGGUUAGAUACCCUUGUAGUC